rnacentral:tRNA from 1 species
GAGAUUCUAGUAAAUAAUUACAUUACCUUGUCAAGAUAAAAUUGUGGGUUAAACCCCCACGAAUCUUA